UGCCAGCCGCCGCGGUAAUACGGAGGGGGCUAGCGUUGUUCGGAAUUACUGGGCGUAAAGCGCGCGUAGGCGGCUAGGUAAGUUGGAGGUGAAAUCCCGAAGCUCAACUUCGGAACAGCCUUCAAAACUGCUUAGCUAGAGGCAGGGAGAGGAGAGCGGAAUACCCAGUGUAGAGGUGAAAUUCGUAGAUAUUGGGUGGAACACCGGUGGCGAAGGCGGCUCUCUGGCCCUGAUCUGACGCUAAGGCGCGAAAGCGUGGGGAGCAAAUAGGAUUAGAUA
rnacentral:rRNA from 1 species